rnacentral:rRNA from 1 species
GAUGAACGCUGGCGGCGUGCCUAAUACAUGCAAGUCGAGCGAACAGACGAGGAGCUUGCUCCUCUGACGUUAGCGGCGGACGGGUGAGUAACACGUGGAUAACCUACCUAUAAGACUGGGAUAACUUCGGGAAACCGGAGCUAAUACCGGAUAAUAUAUUGAACCGCAUGGGUCAAUAGUGAAAGACGGUUUUGCUGUCACUUAUAGAGGGAUCCGCGCCGCAUUAGCUAGUUGGUAAGGUAACGGCUUACCAAGGCAACGAUGCGUAGCCGACCUGAGAGGGUGAUCGGCCACACUGGAACUGAGCCACGGUCCAGACUCCUGCGGGAGGCAGCAGUAGGGAAUCUUACGCAAUGGGCGAAAGCCUGACGGAGCAACGCCGCGUGAGUGAUGAAGGUCUUCGGAUCGUAAAACUCUGUUAUUAGGGAAGAACAAAUGUGUAAGUAACUAUGCACGUCUUGACGGUACCUAAUCAGAAAGCCACGGCUAACUACGUG